CUCAGUUUUGCUUAUAAUUCAUUGAAUUUGUCCUUUAUAAAAUUUGAAUACAUAAUUUCCCUUUAGAAUGCCUUGUAUGGAUGAGAGAAGCACUCAUUCUAUAUAAAUGCUUGUUGAGUACUAAAACACUAACAUAUACAUUUUGGUAUAAUUCCCAAUAAAAUGCUGUUCUUAAAUUUAAACCUUGAUUUGAUAAUCCCAAUUCAUUACUUUAAUAAAAUUGGAAUGAGGAAGUCUGUCAGAAAUUU